AGAGUUUGAUCCUGGCUCAGGACGAACGCUGGCGGCGUGCCUAAUACAUGCAAGUCGAGCGGACUGAUGGGAGCUUGCUCCCUGAAGUUAGCGGCGGACGGGUGAGUAACACGUGGGUAACCUGCCUGUAAGAUUGGGAUAACUCCGGGAAACCGGAGCUAAUACCGGAUAAUAUUUUGAACCGCAUGGUUCGAAAUUGAAAGAUGGUUUCGGCUAUCACUUACAGACGGACCCGCGGCGCAUUAGCUAGUUGGUGAGGUAACGGCUCACCAAGGCAACGAUGCGUAGCCGACCUGAGAGGGUGAUCGGCCACACUGGGACUGAGACACGGCCCGGACUCCUACGGGAGGCAGCAGUAGGGAAUCUUCCGCAAUGGACGAAAGUCUGACGGAGCAACGCCGCGUGGAACGAUGAAGGCCUUCGGGUCGUAAAGUUCUGUUGUUAGGGAAGAACAAGUACCAGAGUAACUGCUGGUACCUUGACGGUACCUAACCAGAAAGCCACGGCUAACUACGUGCCAGCAGCCGCGGUAAUACGUAGGUGGCAAGCGUUGUCCGGAAUUAUUGGGCGUAAAGCGCGCGCAGGCGGUUUCUUAAGUCUGAUGUGAAAGCCCACGGCUCAACCGUGGAGGGUCAUUGGAAACUGGGGAACUUUGAGUGCAGAAGAGGAGAGUGGAAUUCCACGUGUAGCGGUGAAAUGCGUAGAGAUGUGGAGGAACACCAGUGGCGAAGGCGACUCUCUGGU
rnacentral:rRNA from 1 species